rnacentral:misc_RNA from 1 species
AGAGUGUAUUGCCUCCAGCAGUAAGCCUUGUGGAUUGUUAGAGAGUUGUCCGAGUUCAUCUUUAAUCUUCUUGAGCUCUUCACUGACUUCCCAAUCCAAGAAGACAGGAUUUCUCACAGAGUCAACAAGCAAUUCUACCAUUUCAGGAACAUGACUCUUAAGAGCAUCAAAAGUGUAAGCCAUUUGCUCCCGAGAGGCUGAAGCAGCAACACUACCCCCAAUUGCCUCCACUUCCCUAACAAUGCACAAAUGGCUCCUGUUCCUAGUGCUCUUGAAUGCCAUCCGUUCAAGCAAGUGUGUGGCCCCACGUGACAUGGGUGUCUCAUAGAUAGAACCACAAUCAAGAUAAAACCCUAUGGAGGCUGCGGGAUUCGGUGAUGCUUCUGAGACAAUCCUGACACCAUUUUCAAGAGUCUUUGACUUAACCUUGCUUGGUUCAACGUAAUCUGGCAGAACAGGUGGAAGGGAAACACCAGGAAUUGGGGAAUCCAAAGGAGGAAGAGAAGCAGAAUGUUCCCCAGUCAGCCAGCUAAAGAACACCGGUGAGGAUGUCCUAGAAGCAACUGCACUUGAAGUUGCAUAUCGCGUAGCCCCCAAAAUGCCAA